rnacentral:rRNA from 1 species
AAUGAACGCUGGCGGUAUGCUUAACACAUGCAAGUCGAACGGACUCUUCGGAGUUAGUGGCGGACGGGUGAGUAACGCGUGAGAAUCUGGCUUUGGGUUCGGGACAACCACUGGAAACGGUGGCUAAUACCGGAUGUGCCGAGAGGUAAAAGAGAAAUUGCCUGAAGAUGAGCUCGCGUCUGAUUAGCUAGUUGGUGAGGUAAAGGCUCACCAAGGCAGCGAUCAGUAGCUGGUCUGAGAGGAUGACCAGCCACACUGGGACUGAGACACGGCCCAGACUCCUACGGGAGGCAGCAGUGGGGAAUUGUCCGCAAUGGGCGAAAGCCUGACGGAGCAAUACCGCGUGAGGGAAGAAGGCUCUUGGGUUGUAAACCUCUUUUCUUAGGGAAGAACAAAAUGACGGUACCUAAGGAAUCAGCAUCGGCUAACUCCGUG